rnacentral:rRNA from 1 species
UGAGGAAUAUUGGUCAAUGGCCGGGAGGCUGAACCAGCCAAGUCGCGUGAGGGAAGACGGUCCUAUGGAUUGUAAACCUCUUUUGUCGGGGAGCAAAAGGCGUCACGUGUGACGCUCCGAGAGUACCCGAAGAAAAAGCAUCGGCUAACUCCGUGCCAGCAGCCGCGGUAAUACGGAGGAUGCGAGCGUUAUCCGGAUUUAUUGGGUUUAAAGGGUGCGUAGGGCGGAUACUUUUAAGUCGAGCAGGUAAAAUUGAGAGGCUCAACCUCUUCCCGCCAGUUGAAACUGGGAGUCUUGAGUGGGCGAGAAGUAUGCGGAAUGCGUGGUGUAGCGGUGAAAUGCAUAGAUAUCACGCAGAACUCCGAUUGCGAAGGCAGCAUACCGGCGCCCAACUGACGCUGAAGCACGAAAGCGUGGGUAUCGAACAGGAUUAGAUACC